rnacentral:rRNA from 1 species
CCUACGGGAGACAGCAGUAGGGAAUAUUGCUCAAUGGGGGAAACCCUGAAGCAGCAACGCCGCGUGGAGGAUGAAGGUUUUCGGAUUGUAAACUCCUUUUGUUAGAGAAGAUAAUGACGGUAUCUAACGAAUAAGCACCGGCUAACUCCGUGCCAGCAGCCGCGGUAAUACGGAGGGUGCAAGCGUUACUCGGAAUCACUGGGCGUAAAGAGCGCGUAGGCGGGAUAGCAAGUCAGAUGUGAAAUCCUAUGGCUUAACCAUAGAACUGCAUUUGAAACUGUUAUUCUAGAGUAUGGGAGAGGUAGGUGGAAUACUUGGUGUAGGGGUAAAAUGCGUAGAGAUCAAGAGGAAUACUCAUUGCGAAGGCGACCUGCUAGAACAUAACUGACGCUGAUGCGCGAAAGCGUGGGGAGCAAACAGGAUUAGAUACCCGAGUAGUC